rnacentral:rRNA from 1 species
AGAGUUUGAUCCUGGCUCAGGACGAACGCUGGCGGCGUGCUUAACACAUGCAAGUCGAGCGGAAAGGCCCUUCGGGGUACUCGAGCGGCGAACGGGUGAGUAACACGUGAGCAACCUGCCCUUAGCUUUGGGAUAGCUCCGGGAAACCGGAAUUAAUACCGAAUAUUACGUCAAUCGACAUCGGCUGACGUGGAAAGAUUUAUCGGCUGAGGAUGGACUCGCGGCCUAUCAGCUAGUUGGUGGGGUAACGGCCUACCAAGGCGACGACGGGUAGCCGGCCUGAGAGGGCGACCGGCCACACUGGGACUGAGACACGGCCCAGACUCCUACGGGGGGCAGCAGUGUGGAAUCUUGCGCAAUGGGCGAAAGCCUGACGCAGCGACGCCGCGUGGGGGAUGAAGGCCUUCGGGUUGUAAACCCCUUUCAGCAGGGACGAAGCGAAAGUGACGGUACCUGCAGAAGAAGCGCCGGCUAACUACGUGCCAGCAGCCGCGGUAACACGUAGGGCGCAAGCGUUGUCCGGAAUUAUUGGGCGUAAAGAGCUCGUAGGCGGACUGUCACGUCUGCUGUGAAAAGCUGGGGCUUAACCCUGGCCUUGCAGUGGAUACGGGCAGACUAGAGGUAGGUAGGGGAGAAUGGAAUUCCCGGUGUAGCGGUGAAAUGCGCAGAUAUCGGGAGGAACACCGGUGGCGAAGGCGGUUCUCUGGGCCUUACCUGACGCUGAGGAGCGAAAGCGUGGGGAGCGAACAGGAUUAGAUACCCUAGUAGUCC